CCCUUAGAUGUUCUGGGCUGCACACGUGCUACACUGGCAGGUUCAGCGAGCCUCAUGCCCUGAUCUGAAAGGAAUGGGAAAUCUUUUCAAAACCUGCCGUGCUUGGGAUAGAUGUUUGCAAUUAUUCAUCUUCAACGAGGAUUGCCUUGUAAGCGCACGUCAUCAGCGUGCAUUGAAUACGACCCUGUAUUCUGUACACACCGCCCGUCGCUCCUACCGAUUGAAGUUUUCGGUGAGUUGACAGGAGGAUUUUUUUGAAACUGGUUCGCCAGUGGAUUUUAGAUCCAAAUGCCAACGAAUCGAUGGCUUUAGAGGAAGGAGAAGUCGUAACA
rnacentral:rRNA from 1 species